UACGGGGGGGGCAAGCGUUGUUCGGAAUUACUGGGCGUAAAGGGCUCGUAGGUGGCCAACUAAGUCAGACGUGAAAUCCCUCAGCUUAACCGGGGAACUGCGUCUGAUACUGGAUGGCUUGAAUCCGGGAGAGGGAUGCGGAAUUCCAGGUGUAGCGGUGAAAUGCGUAGAUAUCUGGAGGAACACCGGUGGCGAAGGCGGCAUCCUGGACCGGCAUUGACGCUGAGGAGCGAAAGCCAGGGGAGCAAACGGG
rnacentral:rRNA from 1 species